GGCUCCAUGGUCAAGCGGUUAAGACACCACCCUUUCACGGUGGUAUCAGGGGUUCAAAUCCCCUUGGAGUCA
rfam:[Eubacterium] eligens ATCC 27750 chromosome, complete genome.